UAGCUCAGUCCGUAGAGCAUGAGACUCUUAAUCUCAGGUUGUGGGUUCGUGCCCCAC
rnacentral:tRNA from 1 species